rnacentral:rRNA from 1 species
UGAGCGACCUACCUAAUUGUGGGGGAUAGCCGGCCCAACGGCCGGGUAAUACCGCAUACGAUCAGAGAGGGGCAUCCCUUUCUGAGGAAAGCCUUCGGGCGCAAUUUGAGGGGCUCGCGGCCUAUCAGCUAGUUGGCGGGGUAACGCCCACCAAGGCGGCGACGGGUAGCUGGUCUGAGAGGAUGGCCAGCCACAUUGGGACUGAGAUACCGGCCCAGACUCCGUACGGGAGCAG